GAUGAACGCUGGCGGCGUGCCUAAUACAUGCAAGUCGAGCGAACAGACGAGGAGCUUGCUCCUCUGACGUUAGCGGCGGACGGGUGAGUAACACGUGGAUAACCUACCUAUAAGACUGGGAUAACUUCGGGAAACCGUAGCUAAUACCGGAUAAUAUAUUGAACCGCAUGGUUCAAUAGUGAAAGACGGUUUUGCUGUCACUUAUAGAUGGAUCCGCGCCGCAUUAGCUAGUUGGUAAGGUAACGGCUUACCAAGGCAACGAUGCGUAGCCGACCUGAGAGGGUGAUCGGCCACACUGGAACUGAGACACGGUCCAGACUCCUACGGGAGGCAGCAGUAGGGAAUCUUCCGCAAUGGGCGAAAGCCUGACGGAGCAACGCCGCGUGAGUGAUGAAGGUCUUCGGAUCGUAAAACUCUGUUAUUAGGGAAGAACAAAUGUGUAAGUAACUAUGCACGUCUUGACGGUACCUAAUCAGAAAGCCACGGCUAACUACGUG
rnacentral:rRNA from 1 species